rnacentral:rRNA from 1 species
ACUUAGUGGCAGACGGGUGAGUAACAUGUGGGUAUCUACCCUUUGGCCUGGAAUAACACGAGGAAACUUGUGCUAAUACCGGAUAAGUCUUUACGGAGAAAGCUUUAUGCACCAUUGGAUGAGCCCGCACUUGAUUAGUUUGUUGGUAGGGUAAUGGCCUACCAAGACUAUGAUCAAUAGCUGAUUUGAGAGGAUGAUCAGCCACAUUGGGACUGAGACACGGCCCAAACUCCUACGGGAGGCAGCAGUGGGGAAUCUUGCACAAUGGAGGAAACUCUGAUGCAGCGAUGCCGCGUGAGUGAAGAAGGCCUUUGGGUUGUAAAGCUCUUUCGUCGGGGAAGAAAAUGACUGUACCCGAAUAAGAAGGUCCGGCUAACUUCGUGCCAGCAGCCGCGGUAAUACGAAGGGACCUAGCGUAGUUCGGAAUUACUGGGCUUAAAGAGUUCGUAGGUGGUUGAAAAAGUUGGUGGUGAAAUCCCAGAGCUUAACUCUGGAACUGCCAUCAAAACUUUUCAGCUAGAGUAUGAU